rnacentral:misc_RNA from 1 species
CCAAACUUGGUCAUUUAGAGGAAGUAAAAGUCGUAACAAGGUUUCCGUAGGUGAACCUGCGGAAGGAUCAUUAGUGAACAGAAGACCCAUCUUGAAUGGGCUUCAUACCUUCACAUCCAAACACUGUGCAAUGUCCGGGCGAAAGUGUCCCUUGUGGAUGUCUAUUAGCCCCCUUUUUUUACAUCACAAACACAAGUCUAUGUAUGUAACCUAUCAUAACAAAUAGAACUUUCAACAACGGAUCUCUUGGUUCUCGCAUCGAUGAAGAACGCAGC